GACGAACCGUGCGAACGUUGUUCGGAAUCACUGGGCUUAAAGGGCGCGUAGGCGGCCGGACGGUCCGCGGUGAAAUCCCCCGCUCAACGGGGAACGGCCGCGGAUACCGCCGGCCUCGAGGGGGUAGGGCGAGCGGAACGCUGGGUGGAGCGGUGAAAUGCGUUGAGUAUCCAGCGGAACUCCGGUGGCGAAGGCGGCGUCGCUGGACCUUCUACCUGACGCUGAGGCGCGAAAGCCAGGGAGCGAA
rnacentral:rRNA from 1 species